CAAACUGAAGAUGGCGACCGGCGCACGGGUGAGUAACACGUACCCAACCUGCCGAUAACUCCGGAAUAGCCUUUCGAAAGAAAGAUUAAUACCGGAUAGUAUACGAAUAUCGCAUGAUAUUUUUAUUAAAGAAUUUCGGUUAUCGAUGGGGAUGCGUUCCAUUAGUUUGUUGGCGGGGUACCGGCCCACCAAGACUACGAUGGAUAGGGGUUCUGAGAGGAAGGUCCCCCACAUUGGAACUGAGACACGGUCCAA
rnacentral:rRNA from 1 species